rnacentral:misc_RNA from 1 species
ACAAGGUUUCCGUAGGUGAACCUGCGGAAGGAUCAUUAACGCGCAGGCCGGAGGCCGGCCCCCCAGGAUAGGGCCAAACGUCCGUCAGGGGUGAGCAGAUGUGCGCCGGCCGUACCGCCCCAUUCUUGUCUACCUUACUCGGUUGCCUCGGCGGGCCGCGCUCUCCCAGGAGAGCCGUUCGGCGAGCCUCUCUUUAUAGCGGCUCAACGCUGGACCGCGCCCGCCGGAGGACAGACGCAAAAAAAAAUUCUUUCAGAAGAGCUGUCAGUCUGAGCGUUAGCAAGCAAAAAUCAGUUAAAACUUUCAACAACGGAUCUCUUGGUUCCGGCAUCGAUGAAGAACGCAGCGAAAUGCGAUAAGUAAUGUGAAUUGCAGAAUUCCGUGAAUCAUCGAAUCUUUGAACGCACAUUGCGCCCCCUGGCAUUCCGGGGGGCAUGCCUGUUCGAGCGUCAUUUCAGCCCCUCAAGCCCGGCUUGUGUGAUGGACGACCGUCCGGCGCCCCCGUCUCUGGGGGUGCGGGACGCGCCCGAAAGGCAGUGGCCAGGCCGCGAUUCCGGCUUUCUAGGCGAAUGGGCAACAAACCAGCGCCUCCAGGACCGGCCGCCCUGGCCUCAAAAUCUGUUUUAUACUUAUCAGGUGACCUCGGAUCAGUAGGGAUACCCGCUGACUUAAGCAUAUCAAUAA